UACGGAGGGAGCUAGCGUUGUUCGGAAUUACUGGGCGUAAAGCGUACGUAGGCGGUUAUUCAAGUCAGAGGUGAAAGCCCGGGGCUCAACCCCGGAACGGCCUUUGAAACUAGAUAGCUAGAGUCUUGGAGAGGUUAGUGGAAUUCCGAGUGUAGAGGUGAAAUUCGUAGAUAUUCGGAAGAACACCAGUGGCGAAGGCGACUAACUGGACAGAUACUGACGCUGAGACACGAAAGCGUGGGGAGCAAACAGG
rnacentral:rRNA from 1 species